UCCUCGAUGUUUCAGUUGGUAAAGAAUCUGCCUGCAAUGCAGAAGACCCCAGUUCAAUUCCUGGGUUGGAA
rnacentral:tRNA from 1 species